rnacentral:sRNA from 1 species
GCUGGGUGUGGUGAUGCACACCUGUAAGCCCAGUGGCUCAGGAGGUUGAGGCAAGAGGAUCAGUAGUUCAAAGCCAGCCUCAGCAAAAGCGAGGUACUAAGCAACUCAGUGAGACCCUGUCUCUA